GACGAACGCUGGCGGCGUGCCUAAUACAUGCAAGUUGAGCGCUGAAGGUUGGUACUUGUACCAACUGGAUGAGCAGCGAACGGGUGAGUAACGCGUGGGGAAUCUGCCUUUGAGCGGGGGACAACAUUUGGAAACGAAUGCUAAUACCGCAUAAAAACUUUAAACACAAGUUUUAAGUUUUAAAGAUGCAAUUGCAUCACUCAAAGAUGAUCCCGCGUUGUAUUAGCUAGUUGGUGAGGUAAAGGCUCACCAAGGCGAUGAUACAUAGCCGACCUGAGAGGGUGAUCGGCCACAUUGGGACUGAGACACGGCCCAAACUCCUACGGGAGGCAGCAGUAGGGAAUCUUCGGCAAUGGACGAAAGUCUGACCGAGCAACGCCGCGUGAGUGAAGAAGGGUUUCGGAUCGUAAAACUCUGUUGGUAGAGAAGAACGUUGGUGAGAGUGGAAAGCUCAUCAAGUGACGGUAACUACCCAGAAAGGGACGGCUAACUACGUG
rnacentral:rRNA from 1 species